GACCCGGUGGCGCAACGGUAGCGCGUCUGACUCCAGAUCAGAAGGCUGCGUGUUCAAAUCACGUCCGGGUCA
rnacentral:tRNA from 2 species